rnacentral:lncRNA from 1 species
GACCCAAGCAAAGGUAGGCAAGAAAAGAAGGUAGAUAAACAUCAAGAAGAGAUUGUUCUUUUCCAAUAUGGGACUAAACUUAUAACUAAACUUUUAGGAAACUUCAGAGGGAAGGGAGAUUUUGAGUUUUCCUCCACCUCCCUAACAAUUAUAGUGCAAAAGCAGUCUAAUGCAUCAGGUGUUGUGGCCUUUUUUCUUGAUCUCUAGUAAUUUCACAUCUCUGCCACUG